rnacentral:tRNA from 1 species
UCCCUACAAGUUCAUAGAAACACUGAUCUUGUAAAUCAGAAGAAUUACAGGGAA